rnacentral:rRNA from 1 species
AGAGAGAGACAUGCGCGCAUAUCAAUAAGCGGAGGAAAAGAAACUAACAAGGAUUCCCUUAGUAACGGCGAGUGAAGCGGGAAGAGCUCAAAUUUGAUAUCUUCAAGGUUCUACCUUGAUGAAUUGUAGUUUAUAGAAGUGUUUUCUGUUAGUGGAGUGGCAAAAGUUCUUUGGAAUAGGACAUCAUAGAGGGUGAGAAUCCCGUAUUUGGUCAUUACUUCCUAGCUGUUGUGAUACACUUUCAAAGAGUCGGAUUGUUUGGGAAUGCAGUCCAAAAUGGGUGGUAAAUUUCAUCUAAAGCUAAAUAUUGGCGAGAGACCGAUAGCGAACAAGUACCGUGAGGGAAAGAUGAAAAGAACUUUGAAAAGAGAGUUAAACAGUACGUGAAAUUGUCAAAAGGGAAGCGUUUGACACCAGUGUUGUUUUUCCGAAAAUCAAUUACGAAUGUUUUAUUUUUGAGGAGUUAUGACUUCAUCGGCUUGCUCCUUUCUUUAUGAAACUUUCUUAAUGCACUUUUCGGUUAACAAGUCAACAUCAAUUUCUUUUGUUGUAAAAGGGUAUGAGGAAGGUGGCUUUCUUUUCGGAGAAAGUGUUUAUAGCCUUGUGCCUCUGCAAUCGGAGAGAUUGAGGUCUGCAGCGUAGAUCCUUCGGGGUUAGAUACGUUUGUGCUAAGUUAUAGCUUUUCAUAGACAACUUGUUGACUAUGUUUAGUCUUGUAGCUUACUCGCUGACGCUAUUUUACCUACGCUUAGGAUGUUAAUAGUCACAGCGUGUAC